UUUACAAUGGAGAGUUUGAUCCUGGCUCAGGAUGAACGCUAGCGGCAGGCUUAAUACAUGCAAGUCGAGGGGCAGCAUGGUGUAGCAAUACACUGAUGGCGACCGGCAAACGGGUGCGGAACACG
rnacentral:rRNA from 1 species